rnacentral:rRNA from 1 species
AUUGAACGCUGGCGGCAGGCCUAACACAUGCAAGUCGAGCGGAUGAAGGGAGCUUGCUCCUGGAUUCAGCGGCGGACGGGUGAGUAAUGCCUAGGAAUCUGCCUGGUAGUGGGGGAUAACGUCCGGAAACGGGCGCUAAUACCGCAUACGUCCUGAGGGAGAAAGUGGGGGAUCUUCGGACCUCACGCUAUCAGAUGAGCCUAGGUCGGAUUAGCUAGUUGGUGGGGUAAAGGCCUACCAAGGCGACGAUCCGUAACUGGUCUGAGAGGAUGAUCAGUCACACUGGAACUGAGACACGGUCCAGACUCCUACGGGAGGCAGCAGUGGGGAAUAUUGGACAAUGGGCGAAAGCCUGAUCCAGCCAUGCCGCGUGUGUGAAGAAGGUCUUCGGAUUGUAAAGCACUUUAAGUUGGGAGGAAGGGCAGUAAGUUAAUACCUUGCUGUUUUGACGUGACCAACAGAAUAAGCACCGGCUAACUUCG